rnacentral:rRNA from 1 species
CAGUUUAACGGCCGCGGUACCCUAACCGUGCGAAGGUAGCAUAAUCACUUGUUUCUUAAAUAGAGACUAGUAUCAACGGCACCACGAAGACUAUACUGUCUCCUCCCUAAAAUCAAUGAAACUGAUCUCCUCGUGAAGAAGCGAGGAUAUACAUAUAAGACGAGAAGACCCCAUGGAGCUUUAAACGAACUUCAAUUGUUCCUACCCAUAACAUACAAAUUGAACACUCCCUGGUAGAUAGUUUUAGGUUGGGGUGACCGCGGAGUAAAACAAAACCUCCACAAUGAAUGUAAUAAAAUUCUUAUAAAAGAACUACAGUUCUAAUAAUCAAAAAUUUGACAUAAGUUGACCCAAACACUUGAUCAAUGAACCAAGUUACCCUGGGGAUAACAGCGCAAUCCAUUUUAAGAGCCCAUAUCGACAAAUGGGUUUACGACCUCGAUGUUG